rnacentral:lncRNA from 1 species
GAUGAGAACCUCAUCCUGACCUGAGCUGAGAUCGACUACGUCAAGAACAGAAGGAGAACCUCGUCCCGACGAUGACAAAAACUCGAUCGCCUAACCAAAUUGGAUAAAGAGAAAAGUUCCCUCAAUGGCACCUCUACACUUCUGCGCGACCCUCCAAAAAAGCAAAGGGGGGGAACCCUCACUCGAAAAGAGGAGAAAAAUUAAAAAGGAAAGCGACGAAUUACACCGGCAAUAGACAAAAAAUAAACCACACCAA